GAUGAACGCUGGCGGCGUGCCUAACACAUGCAAGUCGAACGAACAGACAAUGAGUUUGCGCGUUUGACGGUUGCGGCAGGCGGGAGUGUCACACGUGUAUCCCCUACUUCUCUUUCUGGGAUGAUUACGGAAGAACGGCUCUUAUACUAGAUAAUAUAUUGCACCGCUGUGUGCAUUGGUUAACUUCGGCUUUUGUGUCUGUAAUAGCUGCUUCCACGCUGGAUUAGUUGGUUGGUAAGGUACCGGCUUACCAAGGCUACGAUGCGUGGCCGACCUGAGAGGGUGAUCGGCCACACUGGAACUGAGACACGGUCCAGACUCCUACGGGAGGCAGCAGUAGGGAAUCUUAGGCAAUGGGCGAAAGCCUGACGCAGCAAGCCCGCGUGAGUGAUGAAGGCCUUCGGAUCGUAAAGCUCUGUUAUUGGGAAAGAACAAAUGUGUGAUUAACCAUCACCGUAUUGACGGUACCGAAUGAAAAAGCACCGGCUAACUACGUG
rnacentral:rRNA from 1 species